UACGUAGGGUCCGAGCGUUGUCCGGAAUUAUUGGGCGUAAAGAGCUCGUAGGCGGUUUGUCGCGUCUGCUGUGAAAUCCCGAGGCUCAACCUCGGGUCUGCAGUGGGUACGGGCAGACUGGAGUGCGGUAGGGGAGAAUGGAAUUCCUGGUGUAGCGGUGAAAUGCGCAGAUAUCAGGAGGAACACCAAUGGCGAAGGCAGCUCGCUGGAACGGUACUGACGCUGAGGCGCGAAAGCGUGGGGAGCGAACAGG
rnacentral:rRNA from 1 species